GACAGAGGGUGCAAACGUUGUUCGGAAUUACUGGGCGUAAAGCGCGUGUAGGCGGCUAUGCAAGUCGGGCGUGAAAUCCCUCGGCUCAACCGAGGAAGUGCACUCGAAACUGCGUAGCUAGAGUCUCGGAGAGGAAGGUGGAAUACUUGGUGUAGAGGUGAAAUUCGUAGAUAUCAAGUGGAACACCGGUGGCGAAGGCGGCAUCCUGGACCAUUACUGACGCUGAGGCGCGAAAGCUAGGGGAGCAAACGGG
rnacentral:rRNA from 1 species